rnacentral:rRNA from 1 species
GCUUAACGCGAAGAACCUUACCAGCCCUUGACAUGGCAGGACGGUUUCCGGAGACGGAUUCCUUCACUUCGGUGACCUGCACACAGGUGCUGCAUGGCUGUCGUCAGCUCGUGUCGUGAGAUGUUGGGUUAAGUCCCGCAACGAGCGCAACCCUCGCCUUUAGUUGCCAUCAUUUAGUUGGGCACUCUAGAGGGACUGCCGGUGAUAAGCCGGAGGAAGGUGGGGAUGACGUCAAGUCUUCAUGGCCCUUACGGGCUGGGCUACACACGUGCUACAAUGGCGGUGACAGAGGGCAGCUAGACCGCGAGGUCAUGCUAAUCCCUAAAAGCCGUCUCAGUUCGGAUUGCACUCUGCAACUCGAGUGCAUGAAGUUGGAAUCGCUAGUAAUCGCAGAUCAGCACGCUGCGGUGAAUACGUUCCCGGGUCUUGUACACACCG